UUGUACAUUCUGAUCGUGAGGAGGUUCUUCUGUGUUGAACGUUUCAACAGUUUCGAAAUUUUCAGGGAUAUCCUCAAGAUUUUCUUGAGGUGCUGGUAAUACAACUAUUGUAUCAUCCUGUCUUUGAUGCAUCUUAUUGAUUUGAGAUGUCUCUCUAGGAGAUAUUCCCCUUCCCAAUAGAUCAUCAACGACUCCCACUGAAUUCUUGUCCACACCAUUAGACAAGUUUUCAUUCUCUAUGUUAUUUUGUGGUUCUUGACAUUCCGGGAAACAAUCACCUUGUGAUAACUGGAAACGUAGAAAUAAUAUCCAAUUGUUUCCUUAGGAUAUCCCACAAAAUAUCAUUUCUCACUUUUAGAUUCCAACUUAUUAGUCAUCAUUUUCUUAACAUAAGCAGGACAGCCCCAGGUCGCAUAUGGUUAAGACUUGCCUUUUUGCCACACCAUAGCUCAUAUGGUGUUUUCUCAACUGAUUUAGAAGGAACUCUAUUUAGAAUAUAAAUAGCGGUCUGUAAGGCAUGGCCCCAAAGGAAUAAAGGGAGACUUGCAAAACUCAUCGUGGAUCGAACCAUAUCUAAUAAAGUUAGAUUCCUCCUUUCGGAUACCCCAUUCAUUUAAGGUGUUCCCGGAGGUGUCCAGUCUGACCGAAUUCCAUGUGAUUUUAAGUAAUCAAGAAACUCAAGGCUUAAGUAUUCUCCUCCUCGAUCCGAUCGAAGAGCCCUGAUACUUUUCCCAAGUUGCUUCUCGACUUCUAACUUAAACUCUUUAAAUUUCUCAAAGGCCUCAGAUUUGUGUUUCAUGAGAUACACGUAUCCAUACCUCGAAAAAUCAUCAGUAAAAGUUAUGAAGUACGAAUAUCCACCUCUUGCUUGUGUAGGGAACGGUCCACACACAUCUGUGUGAAUCAGUUCUAGCAAGUCUUUGGCUCGUAACCCCUUCCCAGAAAAAGGUUGGUUAGUCAUCUUUCCUUUGAGACAAGAUUCACAAGUACCAUAUGACUCAAGGUCAAAUGAUUUGAGAUAGUCUAACUUUCUCAAUCUUGCUAUCAUGUUCUCAUUGAUAUGACCAAGUCUACAAUGCCAAAGAUAAGUAGUAUUAUUCGUAUUACUUGACCUAGGUCGUUAUUUUUGCACAUUGAGAACACUUCUUUCACAUUCAAGAUAAUAUAAACCAUUCAAAAGAGAGGCACUUCCAUAAAACAAUCCAUUCAGUGAAAACGAGCAUCUACUGUUUCCAAAAUGGAAAAACCUUCAAUGUCUAACAUCAGAAUGGAAAUAAUAUUCUUAGAAAUAGAAGGAACGAAAAAACAAUUACUUAAAACUAGUCUAUUUCCCGAAGAAGAUCUAAUCUAUAAGUCCCCACGCUUCGGUAGCAACUUUGCUCCAUUUCCCACGCGUAGAUCGACUUCUCCGGGCCUCACUUUCUUUUUACUUAGCCCUGCACAUUAUUCAAAUGUGUGAGCCAGUGGCUGUAUCUACUCCGGAUUGUGAAUUGUUAAUAGACAUGUUUUCUUGAAAUAACAUACUGACUCAUGCGGAGCACGUGCCUUGUAUUUCGGGCAGUCUCUCUUCCAAUGCCUCUUUUCAUGACAGAACAGGCACUCUUCCUUUGGCAACUUCGACUUUUUAUGAGUUCCUCCACCUUUAGGCUUUAAACUAGCAUCAAAUGCUUUCUUCUGCUUUUUCUUCUGCUUGUUGUUCUUCUUGGAAGAUGUAGCAGUAGAGCACACCAUUCGCACAGAUUUUCCUUUAGAGGUGGUAGACUUGUAGGUCUUCAACAUGUUGUGAAGCUCAGCCAGAGUUGCCUUCAUGCCAUUCAUAUUAAAGUUUACAAUGAAGUUUGCAAAUGAGGCAGGCAAUGACUGCAUAAUCAGAUUGACAGAGACAGUAGGGGGUAGUAUCGUUCCAAUCGAUCACAACCUCUCAAUCAACCCGAUCAUCUUCAGUACAUGAUCAGAAACCUGACCCCCAUCAUGAAGCUUACACUUGAAGAGAUCCGAAGCAUACAAACUCUUCAAGUGUUUUAGCAUUUCAUGAGGGAACAUGUGUUCGUGUUGCCUCUGUAACUCCGUAUUCAUUGAAGUUAACAUUACACACUGAGUCGUAGUUGCAUCCUCAACAUGCUUCUUGUGAGCAGCUUCGUCAAACGAAGCAUACUCUGCAGAAUUCUUGUCGGGAAUCACAGAAAUUGGGUCGUCCAAGACGUACUCAAUCUUUUCUAGUCUUAAGACCAGACGCAAGCAACGGAGUCAAUUCGUGAAGUUUGACCCAAUCAACUUGUUAGUUUCCAUCAAACACUUUAGCGACAAAUUCGACAUAAUAUCUGAUCAAUAAAUAAAGAAAAGCAAAUUAGAAAGAGUAAACUAUGAUCACAUUGUAUCACCAAUCAAACAAUGGGCUAUCGUAUUUAUUAGCUCGCACUAAUUUUUUUGACAUAUUUUACGCCCCCAAUAUAAAAUACGGAUUUAUAAACUAUAUAAAUCUUAGUGGUCCGAGAUCUAAGUCAAUAUUAUGCAGCCUCUGCUUGGGCUGAUGACUGCAAUAAUACUCCCUCCGUCCGCCAAGAUUAUGUCACAAUUACUAUAUCGGGCGUCCGCCAAGAUUAUGUCACUUUCCUUUUAUGGCAAUGGUCCCACCAUCCUCUUUAAUAUUUUAUCCUUACUAACACUCUUUAUUUACAAAAAAACCACUUAAAAUUCAAUCUCAAUCACUCAUCUCAUAAAGUGGUGGGACCAUUUCUCCACUACAUCAAAAAUCAUCACCAAUUUUAUUAAAUCAUGUGCCCAAGCAAAUUGCCAUAAUCUUGGUGGACGGAGGUAGUAUCACUUAGUAGGCCUCUAAGCCAAUUACAACAACAAUUUUACAAUUCUCGGUUGAUUAAUCUAAUUAAUAUGCACAAAUGAUCAAGCAAGUCAACCCCAUCACACGGUGCCAACCUACGAAUGAGCCUUGGCCUUGUAGAUUAGAGCAAACACUUGGGUGUAAAUACUCUUGAUCGAAAAGGUUAGGUACUCAAACAAUUAUGAUGGACAACGCGUUUUGUGCUUACACAAAGACUUAUAUUUAAUGGGGAUUUAGCAUGUGAUACUAAUUGCUUAUAUUUAAUAUCCAAUAUUAAAUAGCAAAAUAAUUAUCGGGCGCCGCCUACCCAUGAAUAGCAAAGCGGACUACAUAUAUUGGGCGCCGCCUACCCAAAAAUAAAAGCGAUCUCUUACUACUAUAGUAAAAUAAUAAGCAUGAAAUCAAAUAGCAUGCUUAUCACAUAAAGGCACAAAAUCUCUACGAAUAAAAUCAUUAAUCAAAUUAAUAUUUUAUUCUCUAAUUAAAUAUGGGUUAAUCAAUUUAUAAAUUUAUUUCUAUUAUUAUAAAUUGAAAAUUAAUAAUAAUAAAUAAAUAAAUUUAUUAAUCUAAUUAAUAAAUUAAUUCUGAAAUUGGGAUAUUAAGUAUUAAUUCUAAAUUAAUAAAAGGUCUUUUUUUUAAUACAAUCUGUUUUAGCCCAAAAGGGCCAUUUAUUAAAAAAAAAUUGCAGGCCCAGCAGAAGUAACACAAGCCCAGCCCCAGGCCCAAGAAUUCACGGCCCAAAACCCAUUAAGGGUUUGGAUCUGCUUUUGCAGCAAGCAACAGCAGCCGUUGCUGCUUUCUUCUUCCGUCAGCCUGCCGCCGCCCCCUUUCCAGUCAGCCCGCCGUCGCCAGAGCCAUGCUGGAGGAUGGUUGCGACGUCCGGCUAAGGCACGCCUUCGCCGGUCAUCUCCAUCUCCAGCCGCCGACGAGACGGCUUCCAAGAACCGCGUCGGUGGGAGGCGUUAAGGGAGCAGCAGCAAAGGUCUCCUCGCCGCUGCACACAUCGACGUCGUCGCCGCCCCUCUAAGGGUCCGACUGUGCGAGUUCUUUUAGCAGCAGUCGCCUCCCGCGCCGGUGUCCAAAACCGCGCCGGAGGGACUGUUACAGAGAGGCAGCGGGCGUAGGCUCGGAGUCGCGAAGCGGUGCGACGCAAUCAGUAACAGAUGGUCGGUCGCAGCACAACGGCAAGCCCCGAUCCACCCGUCGCCUGCAUCAAAUUUUCGGACCCUUCAACAUAUUAGCCCCCGCCGCCCAGCAGCGAUCGGAGUGAUCCGACGUGAACGAUAGAUGCAGCAAGUUUUCGAAAUCGAAGUUUCAAAAUUAUGAAGAACACGUUGCCCAGAAUUGAAAAAUCCCAAUUCAAUUUCUCAAUUCCAAAUCACAAUAUCCAAAAUCAAAUUCUCAAUUUAAUUUUCGAAAACAGAUUUCUAAAAUCAAAAUCAAUUAACCCAUAAUUAAUUAAAACAUAAUAUCAAUUAUAAAUCGAGCCCCGAGCUCUGAGCUCUGAUACCAAUAUUAGAAAUUCUUGAGAUCAUCUAAUGAUACGCCGCGGAAAUACAAUUAAAGAUAAGAUCUAAAUUUAUAAUUAUAUUCAUGUGUAGAGAUAAAACACACAACAAUUAGAAUAACUUACUUGUUGUGUGGUAGAACGAUUGUGACGUUUCCUCCAGUUGAAUCCACUACUAGAGGUAUCCUUGUGACGUUUCCUCGAAGCAGGAACAAUUCCAAGUGCAAGUUUCAAUAACAGAAAGCUAGGAAAUCCUGAUUGAAUAGUAUAGUGCUCACCGUGUUUUCUCUCUUUGUGUUUUCAUGUGUUUAACAAAAGAAAUAUAUUCCUAUUCUUAUAGGAAUAAUAACAGCCUCCUAACCCUAGGUUAAUAGGUCGGGCUUUUCUUUUAUCUACAAUUAAUUAGUCCAAUAGUUCAACUAAUAACUAAUCUAGUCCAUUAAAAUAUAUUUCACAAUAUAGGUUUUCUAAGAUCACAGUUCAACAUUUGUGUAUAUAUGAAAAAAACGGAUGGAGUUUCAGUGACAGAACGAAGUAAAUCUUUUGUCUUCAAUUAUUUUUUCUCAAUUUAUUCUUGUCUAUCGUCAUUAAAGUUGCAGCCGUUGUUCUUCGUUGAAAACUAACAAAUUCAACGCUUGCUCUGCAGCAAUCACCAUAAAUUCAAUGCCAUAUAAAUAUCGGGGAUAAUGUACUCAUUGGGUGAAUAUUGAUAAAUAUAGGUGAAAUAAAGUCAUAUAAUAACAUAUUUAAGGGCAGAAACCAUGAAAAUUUAUUCUACCAACAUUAAUUUAGUUGUCUAUUGAUUUUAAGUAUUUAAUGGAAUACGACAAUCAAUUGUAAGUAAAGUUUUUUUNUUUUCUUUUUAGUCUGCUAACCUAUUAAUUGUCAACAUUUCCUCGCCUACAGUAUAGUUUGUUUACUAUUUAUCAUACGAUGCAAACUUCAAUCUAUCCUCAUUACUUUGCUGCAACAAUUAAAUAUUACUUUGAAAUUCUCUCAGAGGUCGACAUGAGCUCAUCGAUCUUUAUCUUCUUAAGAAGAAGAAAAAAUGAUUUAAAUCAAAAUAUAUAAUUAACUUGAAUCUGCAAUAAAUAGUUCAAUAGAAACUGUCCAAUUCUGAUAAGCCUAAUCACUAUUGAAGAAACAAAAACUCCAAAGGCAAAGAGAGACAUGUAAGGUUGUAAUUAUUCAGAGUCUCUAUCCAUCGCAAUACACUGAGGAAUAGUAGACAUAAUUAAUUUUUCUUUGUUAUUUCACAAAUUAACAAGAAUGGGAAAAAAAGAAGAUAAAACCCCAAUAAUGCAGCAGAACCAUCACAGGCAACAAAAUAAAGACAAACAAAUAUACUUUUCAUGAUUCUAAACCAUGUAUUAACUGGAUAACUUUAAUUUCUUGAAAAAAAAAGAGAGAGAGAGAGAGAGAGAANAAUUUGAUCUUAGCCUAUAAUUCCACAAAGGGAUGUAUUGUUCCGAGUGGUGCAUGUGUGGUAACUAAACGAUGACCUAAUUUAAGUGGAGAAGAGUAAAGCAAAAAUAUUAACCUCAAUUUCGAAACCCCCACGCAACGUGCGGCCGCCUGGCCGCCACGUGUCACGUAGGCAAUCUUGAUUGUGUGGCCAAUUGGGACUGAUAGGCCAAUCCAAUGUGGUAUGAAAUUUGUGCAUUCUCUUCAAACUCCCCCUACUAUAAUAACUCACUCCUAUCUUAAGUAUAGCACAGCCACUGAAUUGAAUCACCACCACCACCCUCUCCAACUUCAUCACACAAUGGCCGCCGCCGUGUCGACCAUCGGAGCCGUCAACCGCGUACCGGUACAGUACUAUCGUAUCUAGCUACUUCAUAUAUAGUAUAAGUGUUGAUGAAAAUUAAGAGAAUGUAAUAAUGUAUGGUAUGGUUGCAGUUGAACUUGAAUGGAUCGAGCGGAGGAGGCGCAGUGCCGACUUCGUCAUUCCUGGGAACGAGUCUGAAGAAGGGCGCGGGCAGCGUGAAAGGCGUCAAGGGCGGGAGCUUGAAAGUGGUGGCGCAGGAGCAGGAGGUGUCGGAGAAGAAGCAGACGAAAGAAGACAGGUGGAAGGGGCUGGGCGAGGACAUCUCGGACGACCAGCAGGACAUCACGAGGGGGAAGGGCAUGGUGGACCCCCUGUUCCAAGCCCCCACCGGGAUGGGGACCCACGACGCCGUCCUCAGCUCCUACGAGUACCUCAGCCAAGGCCUCCGCGAGUACAACCUCGACAACAAGCUCGACGGCUUCUACAUCGCCCCCGCCUUCAUGGACAAGCUCGUCGUCCACCUCUCCAAGAACUUCAUGACCCUCCCCAACAUCAAGGUUGCUCACCCACCUCAUCACAUGCUUUCUUCUUAUUCUAUUAAUAACAUCUUGGCACCUGCAGAUUCCGUUGAUUCUGGGUAUAUGGGGAGGCAAGGGGCAGGGGAAAUCCUUCCAGUGCGAGCUGGUGUUCCGGAAGAUGGGGAUCAACCCGAUCAUGAUGAGCGCCGGUGAGCUGGAGAGCGGGAACGCGGGAGAGCCGGCGAAGCUGAUCAGGCAGCGCUACAGGGAGGCGGCCGACAUCAUCAAGAAGGGGAAGAUGUGCUGCCUCUUCAUCAACGACCUCGACGCCGGGGCCGGCCGGAUGGGCGGCACCACCCAGUACACGGUCAACAACCAGAUGGUGAACGCCACGCUCAUGAACAUCGCCGACAACCCCACCAACGUGCAGCUUCCCGGGAUGUACAACAAGCAGGAGAACCCCCGCGUGCCCAUCAUCGUCACCGGAAACGACUUCUCCACCCUCUACGCGCCGCUCAUCCGUGACGGUCGUAUGGAGAAGUUCUACUGGGCACCCACCCGCGACGACCGUGUCGGUGUGUGCAAGGGUAUCUUCCGUACCGACGGCGUCUCCGACGAGUGCGUCACCAAACUCGUCGACACCUUCCCCGGCCAGUCCAUCGGUACUACCCUAUAUUCAUUCAUUCUCUAUAUACAUAUAUCUCUUCACUUCAAUAUUUACAUCACAAUAAUCAUUUUCAUAUUGCAAAUCUACAAAAUACCUACUUUUUGACUUAUUAUACUGUUUUGACUUUACUUGACCAAUUUAAGACUAAAUUCAUAACUAAACCUAAUUUUAGUUGCGAAUUGCCCGCCCUAGCUAUUUCAAGAGCAAUUCAAAACUCUACAUACUCUUAAUUAUGAAUUAAGGGAUAAAACAGUAGAAAUGGCUGUUUUUAUCAUUUUUAUAUUCGUGGCUAGUUAUUUUACUAUCUUGAAAUGAUAAGUCCACUCUUUAUCAACGUAUCUAUUUUGUUGUUGUAAAGAUAAAAGGAAUAAAAGAAAAUAGUAAUUUUUUAGUUCAACGUAUUGUUUUGGUCUUAAUUAGCAUGAGGCUAGCUUUAGAUUAUACUAGGAAGCUUCGUAGUUGUAAAUUAUAAGCAAAGAGUAAUUCAUUUUUUUGAGGUGCAGUAAAAUAACGUUAUUCUGUUUACUUUCAGAUUUCUUCGGUGCUCUUCGGGCGCGAGUGUAUGACGAUCUAGUGAGAGAGUGGGUGAGCGGAAUUGGGGUGGAGAACAUCGGACGUAAGCUGGUGAACUCUCGGGACGGGCCGCCGGUGUUCGAGCAGCCGAAGAUGACGCUGGAGAAGCUGCUGAGCUACGGUAACAUGCUGGUCGCAGAGCAAGACAAUGUCAAGAGAGUGCAGCUGGCUGACAAAUAUUUGAAGGAUGCUGCUCUCGGCGAUGCUAACAAGGAUGCCAUUGACACCGGAAAGUUCUAGAAUAGCUCUCAACCCAUUAUCACGUUCCCGCCUACCUGCUGAUGUUUAUACAAAUUCUGUUUUUUCCCUAUCUUCUUCUCCUUUUCUUUUUCUUGUUUUUCUCCCUUCAAUUUGUGUA
rnacentral:lncRNA from 1 species